rnacentral:rRNA from 1 species
AUUGAACGCUGGCGGCAGGCCUAACACAUGCAAGUCGAGCGGAUCAGCGGUCGGGUGAGUCAUGCUUAUGAAUCUGACUGGUCGUGGGGGAUGACGUUCGGUACUGGGAGCUAAUACCGCAUACUCUCAGAUGAGCCUAUGUCGGAUUAGCUUGUUGGUGGGGUAAAGGCAUACCAAGGCGACGAUCACUAGCUGGUCUGAGAGGAUGAUCAGUCACACUGGAACUGAGACACGGUCCAGACUCCUACGGGAGGCAGCAGUGGGGAAUAUUGGACAAUGGGCGAAAGCCUGAUCCAGCCAUGCCGCGUGUAUGAAGAAGGUCUUCGGGUUGUAAAGCACUUUCAGUUGGGAGGCGUUACCAGCAGAAGAAGCACCGGCUAACUUCGUGCCAGCAGCCGCGGUAAUUC